AAUUCGAUUGAGUUUGAUCAUGGCUCAGGAUGAACGCUGGCGGCGUGCUUAACACGUGCAAGUCAAGGGGGCCCAGCAAUGGGCAACCGGCGAACGGGUGCGUAACACGUGAGCAACCUACCCAGGUGUGGGGGAUAGCCGUCCCAACGGACGGGUAAUACCGCAUACGCUCUUCUUUAGGCAUUUAGAGAAGAGGAAACCUUCGGGGCACCAUGAGGGGCUCGCGGCCUAUCAGCUAGUUGGCGAGGUAACGGCUCACCAAGGCUACGACGGGUAGCUGGUCUGAGAGGAUGGCCAGCCACAUUGGGACUGAGAAACGGCCCAGACUCCUACGGGAGGCAGCAGUGGGGAAUCUUGCGCAAUGGCCUAACGGCUGACGCAGCGACGCCGCGUGAGGGAUGACGCUCUUCGGAGUGUAAACCUCUUUUGCCCGGAACGAAUUGCCACCAUCAGGUGGCUUGAC
rnacentral:rRNA from 1 species